UACGGAGGGUGCAAGCGUUAUCCGGAUUCACUGGGUUUAAAGGGUGCGUAGGUGGGUUGGUAAGUCAGUGGUGAAAUCUUCGAGCUUAACUCGGAAACUGCCAUUGAUACUAUCUGUCUUGAAUAUUUUGGAGGUAAGCGGAAUAUGUCAUGUAGCGGUGAAAUGCUUAGAUAUGACAUAGAACACCAAUUGCGAAGGCAGCUUACUACACAGUCAUUGACACUGAGGCACGAAAGCGUGGGGAGCAAACAGG
rnacentral:rRNA from 1 species